rnacentral:rRNA from 1 species
CAAGUCUGGUGCCAGCAGCCGCGGUAAUUCCAGCUCCAAUAGCGUAUAUUAAAGUUGUUGCAGUUAAGAAGCUCGUAGUUGAACUUCGGGGUCUACCCAUUGGUCAGGCUUAAUUGUCUGCACUGGUGAGAUGGAUCUCUACCUUCUGAGGAACUUUCAUGCCAUUUAUUUGGUGUGGUUGGAAAUCAGGACUGUUACUUUGAAAAAAUUAGAGUGUUUAAAGCAGACUAUCGUCUGAAUACAUUAGCAUGGAAUAAUGAAAUAGGACGGACUGAUUCUAUUUCGUUGGUUUCUAGGAUCACCGUAAUGAUUAAUAGGGAUAGUUGGGGGCAUUAGUAUUCAAUUGUCAGAGGUGAAAUUCUUGGAUUUAUUGAAGACUAACUACUGCGAAAGCAUUUGCCAAGGAUGUUUUCAUUAAUCAAGAACGAAAGUUAGGGGAUCGAAGACGAUCAGAUACCGUCGUAGUCUUAACCAUAAACUAUGCCGACUAGGGAUCGGACGAAGUUAAUUUUAUAAUGAACGCGUUCGGCGCC